CCUUCUCCUCCUCCUCUGCCUCUGCCCCGGGAGGUGAUGCCGCUGCUCCCACUGGGGAUGGACUGGCGACACCCGGGGAACACCGCGGGUCACCGCUCUAAGGGAUUGCGGGGUCACGGUGACUCCUGGUGUCCCUCCGAAGUGGCAGCUGGAGGUCCCGGGAUACUGCGGGGGUUUCAAAGGGAUGAAGAGAAACGAAAAGAAAAUCAAGGCCAAACCAAAAGGAUUUAUGUGUUUGUGUCUGCUGAGCAUCCAUGUGCUUAGUUCUUCCCCAUUUGGCUGUGGAAGAUGCCUGUGGGACAGAGAAGAUCAAAAUGAUGGAUUUAUGUUGGAGAAGACCUCCAAGGCGAUCAGUGUUGCUUGAUGCCACCAGAAGAUGCAAAAGGUGAGAUUUUUCUGGGAUCGGAAGUUGACAAAUGGGCUCUCCACAAUGGAUUUCUGAUGUUGGUAUGUGGAUGUGUCCAGGUGCUGAUGGGGAACCAGGAGGAUGUGGGCCCCCCCAGCCAGGUAUCUUUCCAACACAGAUCACCAGCACCAUGGAUCACCAGGGCUCUGCACAAUGAGGGUCACUGGGGAUCAUCCAAUGCCAAUCCUCCUAUGGGGGAUGGAGCUGGAGCAGCGUACAAAGCUCUUCCCACACUCGGGGCACUCGCUGGGCUUCCCUUAGUGAUGCCUCUGUUGGUGUUGCGUCAAGCGAGAGCUCUGUGAGCUCUUCCCACACUCGGGUCACUUGUAGGGCAUCUCCCCAGUGUGGAUGCACCAGUGGAUGAUGAGGUUGGAGAUGUACCUGAAGCCCUUUCUGCAGGUGGGGCAGCAGAAGGGCUUCAUCAUCUAUGUGAAUCGGCUGGUGAUGGAAGAGAUAGGAGCUGGUCUGAAAACUCCACACUUGUAGGAUCUCUCACCGAUGUGGAUGAACCAGUGGGUGACAAGGGCGCAGUUCUGGUUAAAGCCCUUCCCCUCAGCUGGGUCAGUGGAAGGGCCUCUCCUUGGUGUGAAUCUGCUGAUGCCUGAGGAGAUGGGAGCUGGUUUGAAACAUCUUCCGGUGUUCAUCACACUAAUAGGGACCCUGCUUUGUGUGGAUCCUCUGAUGGACAAUCAGUUUGGAGCUCCUCCCACAGUCCCCACACUCGUAGGGCUGUUCCCACACUCGUAGGGCUGUUCUCCGGUAUGGAUUCUCCAAUGGUGGAUCAGAGUUGUGCUCUGGUUGAAGCUCUUCCCACAUUUCAAGCACUUUUGGGGCUUCUCCCCAUCAUAAAACUGCUCAUGGACACCCAGCUCUGAGUUCCGGCCAGACCUCCAGCUGCAUUUCCAGCCCAUGGAGGGUCUUUCCCCCUUGUAGAUCCCUGGACUGGGUCUGCAGCCCCUCCUUGUACAAGGAUCUCUGGGGCUUUUCCUCCCUUUUAGAUUCCUGCUCUGUGGAGCCACUCAAAAUGGCCUCUUUCCAUGAGGUUCUGACAAAGGGAUUUGUCCUCCCUGGUCUCCAUCCUAAGUUCAGUGCCUGGGGAAGGGAGGACAAGGAGAGGAUGGGAUUUGCCUCUGUGCCAGAGGGAAGGGAAGGAGAUCAUCCCAAUCCAUCCCUGGCAGGACGGCGACGGCAGGGGCAAUGCUUGGCUGGGAGAUGGAGAAGAGAGGGGGAAAGGGGCAGUGACCCCCUCCUCACCUGCCUGAGGGUCCCAGGACAUCUUCCUC